rnacentral:rRNA from 1 species
CCUACGGGUGGCUGCAGUCGAGGAUCUUCGGCAAUGGGCGCAAGCCUGACCGAGCGACGCCGCGUGUGCGACGAAGGCCUUCGGGUUGUAAAGCACUGUCGUGAGGGAGAAAAGCCGCAAGGCUUGAUCGACCUCAGGAGGAAGCACGGGCUAAGUUCGUGCCAGCAGCCGCGGUAAGACGAACCGUGCGAACGUUGUUCGGAAUCACUGGGCUUAAAGGGCGCGUAGGCGGGCUCGCAAGUCAGGGGUGAAAGCCCGCGGCUCAACCGCGGAAG